rnacentral:lncRNA from 1 species
CGUUUCGAAUUUCAAAAUUUUAAUUACAAAUAAAUGGACGAAAACUAAAAAACGUAUAAAACUUAUGACCUAGAUUAGUCAUCCUCCUAUGUGUCAACACCUCGCCCCUCCCUUGCAUCGUCAUCAUCACCUUCACUCCUAUAAAUAAGACUUUAAACAACAGAGGGAGGGGGGGAUAGAAAGGGAGAAUCUACCGAUUACAACGAACACCUCCCCAAAAUCCCCUAAUCCCACUACACCCUAAAUCCAUUACACCCUAUAUUCAUCACACCCUAAAUCAUACUACACAAUCCCAUUACAAAAGA